UACGUAGGGGGCAAGCGUUAUCCGGAUUCACUGGGUGUAAAGGGAGCGCAGGCGGCGCGGCAAGUCCGAUGUGAAAACCCCCGGCUCAACCGGGGGACUGCAUUGGAAACUACCGGGCUGGAGUGCCGGAGAGGUAGGCGGAAUUCCUGGUGUAGCGGUGAAAUGCGUAGAUAUCAGGAGGAACACCAGUGGCGAAGGCGGCCUACUGGACGGUGACUGACGCUGAGGCUCGAAAGCGUGGGGAGCAAACAGG
rnacentral:rRNA from 1 species